rnacentral:tRNA from 1 species
GCGGGAAUAGCUCAGUGGUAGAGCACAACCUUGAUCGAGGUUGGGGCCGGACGGGCAGUCUCGCGAGUUCGGUUCGACGCA